GAGAUGAGUCUUCCCUGAUACUUUAAGUAUCCUAAAGGGUUGUCGGAGACUACGACGUUGAUAGGUCAGGUGUGUAAGUGCUGUGAGGCAUUGAGCUAACUGAUACUAAUUGCCCGUGAGGCUUAACCAUACAACACCCAAGGGGUUU
rnacentral:rRNA from 1 species